rnacentral:rRNA from 1 species
AGAGUUUGAUCCUGGCUCAGGAUGAACGCUGGCGGCGUGCCUAAUACAUGCAAGUCGAGCGAACGGACGAGAAGCUUGCUUCUCUGAUGUUAGCGGCGGACGGGUGAGUAACACGUGGAUAACCUACCUAUAAGACUGGGAUAACUUCGGGAAACCGUAGCUAAUACCGGAUAAUAUUUUGAACCGCAUGGUUCAAAAGUGAAAGACGGUCUUGCUGUCACUUAUAGAUGGAUCCGCGCUGCAUUAGCUAGUUGGUAAGGUAACGGCUUACCAAGGCAACGAUGCAUAGCCGACCUGAGAGGGUGAUCGGCCACACUGGAACUGAGACACGGUCCAGACUCCUACGGGAGGCAGCAGUAGGGAAUCUUCCGCAAUGGGCGAAAGCCUGACGGAGCAACGCCGCGUGAGUGAUGAAGGUCUUCGGAUCGUAAAACUCUGUUAUUAGGGAAGAACAUAUGUGUAAGUAACUGUGCACAUCUUGACGGUACCUAAUCAGAAAGCCACGGCUAACUACGUGCCAGCAGCCGCGGUAAUACGUAGGUGGCAAGCGUUAUCCGGAAUUAUUGGGCGUAAAGCGCGCGUAGGCGGUUUUUUAAGUCUGAUGUGAAAGCCCACGGCUCAACCGUGGAGGGUCAUUGGAAACUGGAAAACUUGAGUGCAGAAGAGGAAAGUGGAAUUCCAUGUGUAGCGGUGAAAUGCGCAGAGAUAUGGAGGAACACCAGUGGCGAAGGCGACUUUCUGGUCUGUAACUGACGCUGAUGUGCGAAAGCGUGGGGAUCAAACAGGAUUAGAUACCCUGGUAGUCCACGCCGUAAACGAUGAGUGCUAAGUGUUAGGGGGUUUCCGCCCCUUAGUGCUGCAGCUAACGCAUUAAGCACUCCGCCUGGGGAGUACGACCGCAAGGUUGAAACUCAAAGGAAUUGACGGGGACCCGCACAAGCGGUGGAGCAUGUGGUUUAAUUCGAAGCAACGCGAAGAACCUUACCAAAUCUUGACAUCCUUUGACAACUCUAGAGAUAGAGCCUUCCCCUUCGGGGGACAAAGUGACAGGUGGUGCAUGGUUGUCGUCAGCUCGUGUCGUGAGAUGUUGGGUUAAGUCCCGCAACGAGCGCAACCCUUAAGCUUAGUUGCCAUCAUUAAGUUGGGCACUCUAAGUUGACUGCCGGUGACAAACCGGAGGAAGGUGGGGAUGACGUCAAAUCAUCAUGCCCCUUAUGAUUUGGGCUACACACGUGCUACAAUGGACAAUACAAAGGGCAGCGAAACCGCGAGGUCAAGCAAAUCCCAUAAAGUUGUUCUCAGUUCGGAUUGUAGUCUGCAACUCGACUACAUGAAGCUGGAAUCGCUAGUAAUCGUAGAUCAGCAUGCUACGGUGAAUACGUUCCCGGGUCUUGUACACACCGCCCGUC